GUUACUAUAUAUCAUCAAUCAAUUGGGACUAAUUCUCUAAGAAAAAUGUGUACUUUGAUUGCAGCUCUUUUUUUGGGCAGAGCGAACUACUCAAUAAUAGGCUCAGUUCAUCCAACAAACAGGUAUCUCCAAUAUAUACUUAUUUUCAACUACAAGCAUUUUUAUUUUUCAAUUACUAUGCAUUUGCUCGUUUGAGGUGCUGAUUUCAAUGUUUUGUUUGGGUCCAAAGUCAGAUGUAGGUAUCAGUAUUCAAAUCAUUUGAAUCCAAUACUUUCCAUGUACAACAUAAAUUGAAGUAUUAAAAAUUGUAACAAGGAGUAUAUAACUAGCUAGAUAUGAUUGCAUAUCUUCAAAAAUGUUAUGAGUUCAAUGUUAAAAAUCUCAGGUCUACUCAUAAGGAGAGUGCAAUUUAAAAUAUUUGUCCACAUAAUGGACAGCCAACCUAACUUCGGGAAAAAAAAAGAAGAGGUGAUUUAGAUUGGAGUUCCUCUCAGACAAAUGCCUCGUUUUGUCUUCACACUUUUUAAAAGAAUGGAUAUCAGACUCGUCAUCUGUGUUGUUCAUCACUGAGGAACUCCCAAAACCACCAUAACUAUAGAGCAAAAUCACAAAAUCAAAACAUAUGAGAAAAAACCGAUAAAAUAAUACGAUAAUCAACACACAAACACAAACACCACACUAGUAGUUAAAAAAUCGAUACUCACUGCAGCAAUUGUUUACGAAGCAGUGUAUUUAUAGGUCGUGAGUGGUCUAGCGUUAGGGUUUUCACAGCCAGAAGGGCUUUAAAAAUCAUAUGGGCCGGGAUUGAGUAGUUGAACUUGCAACUUGUGGCCUUUUCUGAUUCUAUUUGGAGGAAAUGACAAACAUAGUUUAGUCCCUUAUGUUUGACGGUAACUAGGAGCAAUUACAUUUUUUUUACCCCUCCCCUAGAGCUUCCACCUUUUUGCGCUCUUAAUCACUCGAACUCACAACUUAGGGUUGAAAGUGAAGGUGCUUACAAUUCGAGCAACUACAUGUAAAAUGAUUCAUUCAUGAAAUUAUAUUUGAUCUUCUCUUCUCUAUAUUCAAUUCAGCCUUAAUUACCCUGAUUUAGCUAUCAUCUUCUUUGCGUUCGUCUCAAACUCCAUUGAUAGAUCAUUUAAUUUUACCUGUAACUUAAUAGUACAGAACGUACUAUCAAAAUGUUAUAAAAACACAUUAUGACAGCUGAUUAUAACGACAAUAAUAAGCGAAAUUUACAGAGAAUGAACCUGGCUUGAACAAAUGAAACCUUUUUUACAAAAUAGAAUAAGUGGUUACAUGGUGAUACUGUGUAAAAAUAAGAGAACUAAAGAAUAUCAUAUAAUUAACUCUAUCUGUUUCUGAAUAGUCUUUAUUCUCAUACAACCCUGAUAUAACUGUGAACUUAAGAAAAUCUACAUAACAAAAA